rnacentral:lncRNA from 1 species
AACCUACAAACUCAUUAAAACGUGCGUGUGUUUGAGUUCUUCAUCCCUUUUAUGUUUUUGAAGAAUUCCUACGUUUGUACUGAUAAAAUUUACAAACCUAAUGAGUUUAUAUCUAACAAGUUUUUAUGUGUCUUUCCAUGUUGCAAGAAUACCCAAUAAAGACGAUGUGUUGCGUUAAGAGAAUUUUGAAAUGGUUGUUUUGAUGAAUGUGCA